GGCCAUCGAUGCCCCGCUGCGAAAGAAUGGCUCACGCUACUUCGGUUAGCCGACAAAUGACAGGAAUGGGAGGGAAACUAUCAAGGAAGGGAAAGUUGUGGCAUGCAGCAUCGGUUUUGCUUCGUGCACGCUGGCCUCCGCGGGACAAACUUACCCAGUCCAUUCCUGUCUGUCAUUCUUGUUGACAGGGCAUUGUCAAGAUGCUGGGUUUAUAAAUAAUUUCAUUUCUUCCAGCAUAUUCAUCCAAUCCACUUCUGGGGUGAGAGGUAGAGGGGAAAUUUUUACGGAUUUUUGACAUCAUUACGCACCGCGAAGAGCCACUAAUAUUUUAGAGGCACAGUGAAGAUACAUCCAUACAACAUAACUCUCUGCUUAGCUGUUGCUCGUAAUCCGGAUCUGGCAUUGUCGUGAUUGAGAUUAUCUUGAAUACUCUGAUGCUUUAUCACUUGAUUAAGAAGAUUACUAGUAUUUUACAAUACUUACGAGUAUCUUUGAAUGUCUGCUGCAUCUGUACUAAAGACGGUUCAGGUCCUGGAGAUCCAUUGCUCAUACACACUGUGAUAUGAUAUGCCAUUCAGAGCAAACAUCACUUGGAGAGCUACCUACAUAGUGCC
rnacentral:sRNA from 1 species